GUCUGCUAUCUUUGGCAACACAUAUACUAAAAUUGGAACCAUACAGAACAUUAGCAUGGUCCCUGAACAAGGAUGACAUGCAAUUUCUGAAGUAUAAGCCAGACAU